rnacentral:rRNA from 1 species
GACGAACGCUGGCGGCGUGCCUAAUACAUGCAAGUCGAACGCUUCUUUCCUCCCGAGUGCUUGCACUCAAUUGGAAAGAGGAGUGGCGGACGGGUGAGUAACACGUGGGUAACCUACCCAUCAGAGGGGGAUAACACUUGGAAACAGGUGCUAAUACCGCAUAACAGUUUAUGCCGCAUGGCAUAAGAGUGAAAGGCGCUUUCGGGUGUCGCUGAUGGAUGGACCCGCGGUGCAUUAGCUAGGUGGUGAGGUAACGGCUCACCAAGGCCACGAUGCAUAGCCGACCUGAGAGGGUGAUCGGCCACACUGGGACUGAGACACGGCCCAGACUCCUACGGGAGGCAGCAGUAGGGAAUCUUCGGCAAUGGACGAAAGUCUGACCGAGCAACGCCGCGUGAGUGAAGAAGGUUUUCGGAUCGUAAAACUCUGUUGUUAGAGAAGAACAAGGACGUUAGUAACUGAACGUCCCCUGGCGGUAUCUAACCAGAAAGCCACGGCUAACUACGUG